GUUAAAAAGCUCGUAGUUGGAUUUCUGUCGGUGAGUGUCAGUCCGCCCACAGCGGUAGGUACGUGAUGCGCCACCGGCAUCUUCCUGGGGAAUGUGUCUGCUCUUUAUUGAGUGGUACAUAAGCCAGGACUUUUACUUUGAAGAAAUGAGAGUGUUUCAAGCAGGCAUGCGCCGUGAAUACGUUAGCAUGGGAUAAUAGCAUCGGACCUCGUUCCAAAGCUGUUGGUUUCUUGGACCGAGGUAAAGGUGAAUAGGGAUUGUUGGGGGCAUUCGUAUUUGACUGUCAGAGGUGAAAUUCUUGGAUUUGUUGAAGACGGACUACUGCGAAAGCAUCUGCCAAAGAUGUUCUCAUUGAUCAAGAACGAAAGUUAGGUGAUCGAAGACGAUCAGAUACCGUCCUAGUCUUAACCAUAAACUAUGCCGACUGGAGAUCGGGGGUUGUUAAUUAUGUGACGCCCUCUGCAUCUUGAGAGAAAUCAAAGUCUUUGGGUUCCGGGGGGAAUAUGGUCGCAAGGCUGAAACUUAAAGGAAUUGA
rnacentral:rRNA from 1 species